UACGUAGGCAGCGAGCGUUGUUCGGAGUUACUGGGCGUAAAGGGUGUGUAGGCGGUUGCUUAAGUUUGGUGUGAAAUCUCCCGGCUCAACUGGGAGGGUGCGCCGAAUACUGAGUGACUCGAGUGCGGGAGAGGAGAGUGGAAUUCCUGGUGUAGCGGUGAAAUGCGUAGAUAUCAGGAGGAACACCGGUGGUGUAGACGGCUCUCUGGACCGUAACUGACGCUGAGGAGCGAAAGCGUGGGGAGCAAACAGG
rnacentral:rRNA from 1 species